rnacentral:rRNA from 1 species
AGUGAACGCUGGCGGUAGGCCUAACACAUGCAAGUCGAACGGCAGCACAGUAAGAGCUUGCUCUUACGGGUGGCGAGUGGCGGACGGGUGAGGAAUACAUCGGAAUCUACUUUUUCGUGGGGGAUAACGUAGGGAAACUUACGCUAAUACCGCAUACGACCUACGGGUGAAAGCAGGGGAUCUUCGGACCUUGCGCGAUUGAAUGAACCGAUGUCGGAUUAGCUAGUUGGCGGGGUAAAGGCCCACCAAGGCGACGAUCCGUAGCUGGUCUGAGAGGAUGAUCAGCCACGCUGGAACUGAGACACGGUCCAGACUCCUACGGGAGGCAGCAGUGGGGAAUAUUGGACAAUGGGCGCAAGCCUGAUCCAGCCAUACCGCGUGGGUGAAGAAGGCCUUCGGGUUGUAAAGCCCUUUUGUUGGGAAAGAAAAGCAGCAGGUUAAUACCCCGCUGUUCUGACGGUACCCAAAGAAUAAGCACCGGCUAACUUCGUG